GACGAGCCUCACAAACGUUAUUCGGAAUUACUGGGCUUAAAGGGUGCGUAGGCGGCGCGGAAAGUUGGGUGUGAAAUCCCUCGGCUCAACCGAGGAAUUGCGCUCAAUACUACCGUGCUCGAGGGAGAUAGAGGAAUGCGGAACUUAGGGUGGAGCGGUGAAAUGCGUUGAUAUCCUAGGGAACACCGGUGGCGAAAGCGGCAUUCUGGAUCUCAUCUGACGCUGAUGCACGAAAGCUAGGGUAGCAAACAGG
rnacentral:misc_RNA from 1 species